rnacentral:rRNA from 1 species
GAGUUUGAUCAUGGCUCAGGAUUAACGCUGGCGGCAUGCCUAAUACAUGCAAGUCGAACGGAGUAGCAAUACUUAGUGGCGAACGGGUGAGUAACACGUAUCUAAUCUACCAUUUAGUUGGGAAUAACUGUUGGAAACGACAGCUAAUACCGCAUAAUAUUGCUGGAUAAUUUCCAGUAAUGAAAGGAGCUUUCAAGCUCCGCUGAUUGAUGAGGAUGCGGCGCAUUAGCUAGUUGGUAGGGUAAUGGCCUACCAAGGCAAUGAUGCGUAGCCGAUCUGAGAGGAUGAACGGCCACAUUGGGACUGAGACACGGCCCAAACUUCUACGGAAGGCAGCAGUAGGGAAUUUUUCACAAUGGGCGAAAGCCUGAUGGAGCAAUGCCGCGUGACUGAUGAAGGUCUUCGGAUUGUAAAGGUCUGUUGUAAGGGAAGAAAUGGUAAAACAGGAAAUGGUUUUAUCUAUGACGGUACCUUACCAGAAAGCCACGGCUAACUAUGUGCCAGCAGCCGCGGUAAUACAUAGGUGGCAAGCGUUAUCCGGAUUUAUUGGGCGUAAAGGGUGCGUAGACGGUUUUGCAAGUCUGAGGUUAAAUUUAGGAGCUCAACUCCUAAUCGCCUUGGAAACUACAAGACUAGAGUAUAGGAGAGGUUAGUGGAAUUCCAUGUGUAGCGGUGGAAUGUGUAGAUAUAUGGAGGAACACCAGUGGCGAAGGC